GAUGAACGCUAGCGGCAGGCUUAAUACAUGCAAGUCGUGGGGCAGCAUGAGUAGCAAUACUUGGUGGCGACCGGCAAACGGGUGCGGAACACGUACACAACCUUCCGAUAAGUGGGGAAUAGCCCAGAGAAAUUUGGAUUAAUACCCAGUAACAUAUAGAGUAGGCAUCUUCUUUAUAUUAUAGCUUCGGCGCUUAUUGAUGGGUGUGCGUCUGAUUAGGUAGUUGGCGGGGUAACGGCCCACCAAGCCUACGAUCUUGAGCUGAUGUGAGAGCAUGAUCAGCCACACGGGCACUGAGACACGGGCCCGACUCCUACGGGAGGCAGCAGUAAGGAAUAUUGGACAAUGGGCGAAAGCCUGAUCCAGCCAUGCCGCGUGAAGGAUUAAGGUCCUCUGGAUUGUAAACUUCUUUUAUUUGGGACGAAAAAAGGGAAUUCUUUCCCACUUGACGGUACCAAGUGAAUAAGCACCGGCUAACUCCGUGCCAGCCGCCGCAGUAA
rnacentral:rRNA from 1 species